rnacentral:rRNA from 1 species
UGAGUAACCUGUCCUCGGCACCGGGAUAGCCCGGGGGAAACCCGGAUUAAUACCGGAUGGCCUUUCGAGUCUUCGGGCUCGUCAGAAAAGGUAGCUUCGGCCUCCGGCCGAGGAGGGACUCGCGGCGGAUUAGCUUGUUGGUGGGGUAACGGCUCACCAAGGCGACGAUCCGUAGCUGGUCUGGAGGGGACGAUCAGCCACACUGGGACUGAGACACGGCCCAGACCUCCGUACGGGGAGGCAG